rnacentral:tRNA from 1 species
AGCGGGCUAGAUCAGUGGCAGAUCGCUGGGCUCAUAACCCGGAGGUCGCUGGUUCGAGUCCAGCGCCCGCUACCA